CAGCUGCCCUUGGGGCUACGCACUGAGUAGAACUUCCUACUAAAGGACUGGGUACUCAGCGCUGGACCCAAAACACUCAGGGUUUGGUUUCUCUUGCUCCUCUGGGGUCCAUCCAGUUUUAAAGCCCUCAAGGAGUUCAGAGAAAUAACUCUAGGAAUUACCCGUUCCAAAUGCGCAAUAUACAACUUUCUGCCUAACUGGGUAAAAAAGAAUCUUGGAAACCCACAAAAUAAGACGAAAAAGCGCUGGAAUCCUUAUGAGAGCUGAUAAGUGACCAGAGGCUGAGAGUGAGACCAGAGUAACCAUCAUGGAUCCAAAGAAGUGUAUCUCCACAGUGUCAGCAGCAAUCAAAUCUCUCAAGGUCUUCCCAUGGUUUGGAAACCCCUCCCCCACACACAUUUGUCAUAGGUAUUCCAAGAAUUUGUUCUUGCAAAGUCUACCAUUUUGUUCCUUAUCCCUCAGGUUUCAGUUCUCUGGCAAUGGCUCUCCUUGACACUGAACCAACUAGAAGUUCCUGCUGGGACUCCUGAAGGCGGCCCAUAGCUCUCAGCCCUGAUUACUGCCACGACUUCUUUCCUACAGAGUUCAUCUGGCCUUUGGGAAGAGAGAAGCAUGGCAUGCCAUAUCUCCAGCCGCCAAACAGACUCAGACUUGCCCGAACCAUGGGCCCAGCAUCCCCUGGAGUUCAAUCUGGGAUCCAUGGGACACCUGGAGCACCGACAUGAGUUAAAAGGCAAAGCGAAAACACUGGUUCUACCAUCAAUUUUCUCUGAAAAGAAAAGCAUGAAGCACCUAUCAUGAUUGUGCUGAUAGGAUUCACUUUUUUAAAAAAAGUUAUCUUUAUUGUUGAAAGUAUUACAGAUGUCCCCCGCCCCCCAUUGGCCACCAUCCACCCCCCACCCAACCCUCCCAGGCCUUCCCCACCCUACUGUCUGGUGCAUAUAACUUCCCUGGUUAAUCUCUCUCCACUCCUGCCUUCCCUCAGCAGUUCCUCAGUCUGUUCCAUGCUUCUAUGUCUCUGGAUCUAUUUUGUUCAUCAGUUUAUUUGGUUCAUUCGAUUCCACAUAUGAAUGAGAUCAUGUGACACAUCUUUCUCUGCCUGGCUUAUUUCACUCAGCAUAAUAUACUCGGGGGCCCUCCAUGCUAUCUCAAAGGGUAGGAGGGCUUCUUUUUUAUGCCUGUAUCGUAUCCCAUGGUGUAAAUGUACCACAGCUUUUUUAUCUACUCAGUUACUGAUAGGCACUUGGGCUGUUUCCAGAUCUUAGCUAUUGUAGGAUUCAUGUUUUUAAAAGGAUUGCUUGAAAAUAAACACUGGCAUAAAUUUCACUUACCUACCACAAGCUUAAUAUUCCUGAACAUCCGUUCAUGUCAGGCUAUAUUCAGUUGUUAGAACAAUAUAAACACUAUUGCCACUACCAGUUUCAGUUCUCAAUAUUUUUUAACCUGCAAUGAGCUAUGCACCUUCCCUAAGACUUCAAUAUCAGGAGACUAUGUCAAGUUUGAGAAUUGAUGAAGUCAACUGCUUUUAAUCAUUAAUGAACAUUAUCUUUUCUAUUAGCACUUUUCUUAUCCUGGCCUUCAAAUAAGACUUGUUUUGGUUUGCUUGAAAAAUGUUAUUCAGACAUUAAUUAGAAAAUGAAAAAACCUAGAUUUAUUAACUUAUUAGAAAAAUGUUCUGAGGUAUCAGAAAAGCUAUAAAUCAUUAAAUUUUACAUAUUAAAGGUGAAACUAGUUUCUUAACUGUUGUGGAGAAGAAAUACAUGAUGUUUAAAUACCAUGGAAUAAUUAUACAGCAAAUAGCUGACUUGUAUUUCUACUAGUUCGUCAACUAUCAGACCAGGUAAAAAGAAAUAGAUGUCAUUUAAAAACUGUAUUUCCUGAAGAGGAAUGGACAGGGCGGAACUGUUGUCCAGGUCUUCUUCUGAAAGGCACAGUGGAAUGUUGGGCCUCCUUUUCCUAUUUUCUCCCUUCUUCAGCCAGGGAGGGGGAGACCUUCGUAUUAUUAAGGGAAAGGGCAUCACAUAGAAAAGAGAGGAACACAAUUGUUUCACUUUCUUUUUCCACAUAAAUUCCCUAAGGAAAAUCCAAAUAGCAGACUCUUAUAAGAUAAUGUUAAAAAGAAAAGAAAAAUAUAAAAUGAAAGCCCCAAAGCUUGGAAAACAGAAAACAGGGAUAAGAAGGAAGAGGGUAAAAAAAAAAGAAGAAAGAGAAAAAGAAAGGCAGGGAGAGAAGGAAGGAGGGAGGGAAGGGAAUAA